AGCCCAAAAGAAAAGCCCACCUAGACCCCGUUCUUCCUCUUCUCUCCUUUUCUCGUUCUUCUCCUCUGCCGCACGCUCUCUCCCAGCGCCGUCGCUCACACCGCCGCUCCCCCUCACGCCAGCCGCUGCUCCCUGCCUCCGGCAGCCGCCCCGCAGCUGCUGCCUGCCUGAAUCGGUUCCGUGGCUCCUCAUGAGUCUAUCCCCAAAUUAACCCUAGCCAUCAACCCCUCUCCAAUCGAUGCUGCUGCUGGCUACUGCUCUCAACGACUGAGAUUGGAAUUUCCCCAGCCCCAGCGCCCCUGAUUCGAGCAUGGCUCAGACCAGCCGUGUCUCCCCAAGCUCCUCUUCUCUAAUCCCUUCUCUCUUUUCUUCUGUGAUGUGAUCUAAUUGGUGUUCUCUUGUGUGGUAACCUACUGUGAAUUUUUAUGCUUGUGAACUAGUCCUAAUGACCAACGUGAUGAUGCUAUACUCAGGAUUAUCCUGCUGUCUGUAGGGUUCCAGAUUGAUUGAUUUGCUAUAGAUGGAUGAUGACUAUAUGCUAUGGAUGAAUGAAUGAAUGCUUACAUAAUAUAUCCUAUGAAAAUGCAGUACUGAAAUUAAAAGCACACUAACAUGAUUUUGUCCUUAUAAAUGUGCUUGCAUAUAGAAUAACCGAAUUUCUGAAAUUAGUGGCAUAUUAGCAGGAUUAAAUCCCUAAAUUAGGUUUAUUGAAUGAUGCAGCAACUUACAUGUUCUAUAAUUUGAUAAUUAUGGCAAGAUCUGUACUAUAUAUAGUUGAAUUAUAACCUAUGAAAUCUAACAUUGAAUAUAAAGAGAUGGUGACUGAUUUCUUAAAUAAUUUACUGCUAUUGACUAUAUGUCCUGACUCUUGCCUCUGUAUAAUUUACUUGAUUCGACUUAUUCCUGCAGGGAGAAAUUAGACUUAUUGAUGACCUAACUAUACUAUGGUUUUUAUUCAGAUAUUAUACGCUAUUGUUUCCUGAGAAUUUUAUAAACUAUGAUAGCAUACACUUAAACUCAAGAUAUAUUUGUGCACACUAAAAGAUGUCAUUCUUUUCUCUAAAUAUGUUCUACUCUUCCAACUGACCUACAAUUGAUACCUAUUAUUCUGCUAAUGGAUCCUAUAUCCUCUAUUUAGUUUCUAAACUAAGAAUAGAUCAUUGCCUACCCAUUUAUGCUCUGUCUAUUUAACUUGAAAUACUAGCACAAUAUUGAUCUUACCUUAAGCUCUUGAGGUUAAAUAGAACAGUGAUUAUUUCUAACUAUGCAUGUAGUCAAAAUUCAUCCUAUGAUAGCUUUACUGAACAUUGAUUUAUAGAACUAUAUACAGAUAUAAUCCUUAGCUCAAUUGCACUUGUAGAUCAUUAGAAAUAAAUCUUGCUGUUAAAUAUGUACUGAGAUGGCUGGUCUGUACUUGAAUUUUCCUUCUAAGACUCCACUGAAUUUAGGAUGAUAUUAUCCUGUCCAACUACUCAUAAAAACUUUGCCUAGCUUAUUGAACUAAGGAUGCACAUUCAGUAAUAUACCCCAACACCUAGUACUAGUAUAUCCACAGAUCAACAUGGCUGCCAUCUACUGAGUUCAUUUUUCAGGUUUAAUGGAUAUAACUAAGGGCAUGCACACAACUCCUAAACAUACUAUUGAAGAUGUUCCUGUAGUGCGAGAUUAUCCUGAUGUUUUUCCCGCAGAAUUGCCACGGAUGCCACCUGAGCGUGAUGUAGAGUUCCGUAUUGAUCUUGUUCUUGGUACACAACCUAUCUCCAGAGCCCCGUACCAGUUAGCUCGUCCUUUCCAAGAAGAGUUGAAGAAACAAUUAGAUGAUCUAUUAUCCAAGAAGUUAAUCCGACGGAGUGUGUCGCCAUGGGGCGCACCUGUUAUUUUUACUGAGAAGAAGGAUGGAAGUUGGCGUAUGUGUGUGGACUAUCGGGCCUUAAAUGCUGCGACAAUCAAGAACAAGUACCCAUUGCCUCGUAUUGAGGAUUUGUUUGAUCAGUUAAAGGGAGCGAAGGUGUUUUCUAAAAUUGACUUGCAAUCUGGUUAUAACCAAAUUCGAGUGCGAGAAGAGGAUAUUGAGAAGACCGCAUUUUCCACGAGAUGUAGAGGAGCAUGAGCGUCAUCUGAGGAUGGUACUAGGGACCCUACGAGAAAACAAGUUCUAAUGUAAACUGAAGAAGUGUGAGUUCUGGCUUCCUGAAGUGGCUUUCCUAGGGCAUGUAAUUAAUCAGCAAGGUAUCUCGGUUGAUCCAAGCAAAGUUUCAAGUGUUGUCGGAUGGGAAAGGCCGACUAAUGUUAAGGAUGUGAGGAGUUUUUUGGGUAUGGCGGGGUACUACCGACGCUUUGUGAAGGAUUUCUCGAUUAUCGCUAAACCUAUGACGAUGCUCACACAUAAGGAUGUGAAGUUUCAGUGGACGGACCAAUGCGAGCGUAGUUUCCAACAAUUGAAGCAGAGGCUGGUAACUGCUCCGGUGCUUACUUUGCCCCAACCUGGCAAAUGUUUCACUGUCUAUUCCGAUGCUUCAUGAGUAGGCCUUGGUUGUGUUCUUAUGCAAGACGGCAAUGUUAUAGCUUAUGCGUCUAGGCAGUUAAAGAAGCAUGAGCAGAAUUACCCCACUCAUGAUCUUGAGCUUGCAACAGUGGUCUUUGCUCUCAAAAUAUGAAGGCACUACCUGUAUGGAGAAUCUUGUGAUAUUUUCACUGAUCAUAAGAGUCUGAAGUACAUCUUCACUCAGAAGGAUUUGAACUUUAGGCAGAGGAGGUGGCUAGAAUUAAUAAAAGAUUAUGAUCUCAACAUUCAGUAUACCCUGGGUAAGGCGAAUGUCGUUGCAGAUGCUCUAAGCCGUAAGGUUGUUCCUCUAAAUGUGAGUUGUUUGAUAACUGAUUUUGAACGGAUGGAUAUCUCCUAUUGUUAUGUUGGAGUGGCGAGUACCGAGUCACGAGUCAUUCUUGAGUCCGCCAUACCCCAACGAGUGCUAGAGGCCCAACAACACGAUCGGUUGCUGCAACAAGUUAAGAAACGUGUAAAGGAAGGAAAAACUGGAGAUUUCACUUUGGAUUCCUCGGGAGCUGUGCGAUUCCAUGGGCGUUUAUGUGUUCCACAGAAAGCUGAAGUCAAGGAAGAGAUUUUGCGAGAAGCACACUGAACACCAUAUACUGUGCAUCCUGGGGAGAACAAGAUGUAUCAUGAUCUGAAGAAGAUCUAUUGGUGGAAGAGGAUGAAAGUGGAUGUGGCCAAGUACGUGGCAUCAUGUGGGGUAUGUCAGCGAGUAAAGGCUGAACAUAAGAGUUCUGCUGGAAAGUUACAAUCAUUGGAAGUUCCUGUAUGGCCUUGGGAUGAUAUUGCUAUGGAUUUCGUGGUUGGGCUACCUCGAACUCCACGAGGGAAGGACGCCAUCUAGGUGGUUGUAGAUCGUCUGAGUAAGGUGGCACAUUUCAUUCCUAUCCGCACCACUUAUUCUGCGAGUGACUUGGCACCGAUCUAUACACGCGAGGUAGUGAGGUUACAUGGUGUGCCUCGCUCGAUUGUUUCUGAUAGGGAUGCUAAGUUUUCUUCUAAGUUUUGGGAAUC